rnacentral:rRNA from 1 species
GAACGCUGGCGUCGUGCYUAAUACAUGCAAGUCGAGCGGUCAGAUGGGAGCUUGCUCCCUGAAGUCAGCGGCGGACGGGUGAGUAACACGUGGGCAACCUGCCUGUAAGACUGGGAUAACUCCGGGAAACCGGGGCUAAUACCGGAUAAUUCUUCCCUCACAUGAGGGAAAGCUGAAAGAUGGUUUCGGCUAUCACUUACAGAUGGGCCCGCGGCGCAUUAGCUAGUUGGUGAGGUAACGGCUCACCAAGGCAACGAUGCGUAGCCGACCUGAGAGGGUGAUCGGCCACACUGGGACUGAGACACGGCCCAGACUCCUACGGGAGGCAGCAGUAGGGAAUCUUCCGCAAUGGACGAAAGUCUGACGGAGCAACGCCGCGUGAGUGAUGAAGGUUUUCGGAUCGUAAAACUCUGUUGUUAGGGAAGAACAAGUACCGGAGUAACUGCCGGUACCUUGACGGUACCUAACCAGAAAGCCACGGCUAACUACGUGCCAGCAGCCGCGGUAAUACGUAGGUGGCAAGCGUUGUCCGGAAUUAUUGGGCGUAAAGCGCGCGCAGGCGGUUCCUUAAGUCUGAUGUGAAAGCCCCCGGCUCAACCGGGGAGGGUCAUUGGAAACUGGGGAACUUGAGUGCAGAAGAGAAGAGUGGAAUUCCACGUGUAGCGGUGAAAUGCGUAGAGAUGUGGAGGAACACCAGUGGCGAAGGCGACUCUUUGGUCUGUA